rnacentral:rRNA from 1 species
AUUGAACGCUGGCGGCAGGCCUAACACAUGCAAGUCGAACGGUAGCACAGAGGAGCUUGCUCCUUGGGUGACGAGUGGCGGACGGGUGAGUAAUGUCUGGGAAACUGCCCGAUGGAGGGGGAUAACUACUGGAAACGGUAGCUAAUACCGCAUAACGUCUUCGGACCAAAGUGGGGGACCUUCGGGCCUCACACCAUCGGAUGUGCCCAGAUGGGAUUAGCUAGUAGGUGGGGUAAUGGCUCACCUAGGCGACGAUCCCUAGCUGGUCUGAGAGGAUGACCAGCCACACUGGAACUGAGACACGGUCCAGACUCCUACGGGAGGCAGCAGUGGGGAAUAUUGCACAAUGGGCGCAAGCCUGAUGCAGCCAUGCCGCGUGUAUGAAGAAGGCCUUCGGGUUGUAAAGUACUUUCAGCGGGGAGGAAGGCGUUAAGGUUAAUAACCUUGGCGAUUGACGUUACCCGCAGAAGAAGCACCGGCUAACUCCGUGCCAGCCGCCGCAGUAAUAC